UACGGAGGGUGCAAGCGUUAUCCGGAUUCACUGGGUUUAAAGGGUGCGUAGGAGGGCAGGUAAGUCAGUGGUGAAAUCUCCAAGCUUAACUUGGAACUGCCGUUGAUACUAUCUGUCUUGAAUACCGUGGAGGUGAGCGGAAUAUGUCAUGUAGCGGUGAAAUGCUUAGAUAUGAACAUAGAACACCAAUUGCGAAGGCAGCUACGCUACACGAAUAUUAACUCUGAGGCACGAAAGACGUGGGGAUCAAACAGGA
rnacentral:rRNA from 1 species